ACAGCUACAACCGCACGAUUUGAGCUGUAAGUGCCAUUUGGCCGCUUUAUUUCGGCGAGUCUAAGCAAA
rnacentral:sRNA from 1 species